GAUAGAAGCAGAGGAAUGUAGACAGUGGGGAUGAGAGAGCGGCAGGCGACGGUGGAGAAGAAACAUGCAAGAGUGUCUGGUGUCCAGGUGACGCUGGCAGGGGUUUGGGGGGACGGAGCAAAGUGCCGAACUUCCUGACCAAUAGGACGGGGAGCUUUCACUCACCAUGAUCAGCAUCAUCAUUUUUGUAAAUGUGUGUCUGCAUUUGUUCUUGCUUGCUUGAAUUCGCUGCCAUACCGCUUCAAACUUUUUUGCAGAUGUGUGUGUUUUAUAUUCGACACGUCCCCAUGAGACAAAUGUACCUUUUUCAACUUCUUCAAAAAAUGCAAAACACCAUUUUUUGAUGCACAUUUUUAUAUGAUGUUAUAUGAGUUAUUUGGCAUCAUGUCCAGUUCACCUUGGUGUUACACAUUAAUUUUUAUGUGUAUUGUUUGUAGAAAAUAAAUUCCAUGUGUAGAA